AUAAAACAACCUUCUAGUCUCUGACGUACACCAGUCGUCUAUGUACACAGGGAACUAUUCGUUCAGGAACAUGUUGAAGACAGUUGCGUUCGCCAUGUUUGUUUUGUUUAUCGUUAGUGUUGACAGAUCGCUGUGUGAAGAUAACAGAAAAGUUGUCCCAUGUAAUGACACACAGCACUUCUGUUGGGCCCCCGGUGAUAAAUACAGCUGCAUAGACAACGGCAUAGAGCCUGGUGUGAAGUGCGCUGACGGUGGAGACUGUUGUGUGGCGGCUGACCCGUGCUCCUGGACCCAGUGCUGACUUUAGACUGGACUUAAUCAGUAAGGGUACUUGUUCCUACAUUGACUUGCGACGAUGACGUAUGCAACCAAUCUAAGGGAACACGAUGAUACUUAAAAACAAAAUUAUAACCAAUAAAAUAUUGAUGAUUAUAA